rnacentral:misc_RNA from 1 species
GAUGAAGAACGCAGCGAAAUGCGAUAAGUAAUGCGAAUUGCAGAAUUCCGUGAGUCAUCGAAUCUUUGAACGCACAUUGCGCCCGCGAGUAUUCUCGCGGGCAUGCCUGUCCGAGCGUCAUUUCAACCCUCAGGGCCCGCCUGCUUCGGCAGGCGCGGCGCUGGUGUUGGGGAUCGGCCUAACCGCCGUCCCCCAAAUACAGUGGCGGUCUCGCUGCAGCCUCCCCUGCGUAGUAGCAACACUCGCAUGCGGAGCGCGGCGCGGCCACGCCGUAAAACCCCCGACUUUCUGAACGUUGACCUCGGAUCAGGUAGGAAUACCCGCUGAACUUAAGCAUAUCAAUAAGCGGAGGA